UACAGGGGGGGCAAGCGUUGUUCGGAAUUACUGGGCGUAAAGGGCUCGUAGGUGGCCAACUAAGUCGGACGUGAAAUCCCUCAGCUUAACUGGGGAACUGCAUCCGAUACUGGAUGGCUUGAGUUUGGGAGAGGGAUGCGGAAUUCCAGGUGUAGCGGUGAAAUGCGUAGAUAUCUGGAGGAACACCGGUGGCGAAGGCGGCAUCCUGGACCGACACUGACACUGAGGAGCGAAAGCCAGGGGAGCAAACAGG
rnacentral:rRNA from 1 species